rnacentral:rRNA from 1 species
GACGAACGCUGGCGGCGUGCUUAACACAUGCAAGUCGAACGGAAAGGCCUCUUUCGGGGUGUUCUCGAGUGGCGAACGGGUGAGUAACACGUGAGUAACCUGCCCUUGUCUUUGGGAUAACUUAAGUAAACUGGGGCUAAUACCGGAUAGGAGCUCCUUCUGCCUGGUGGGGGUUGGAGAGUUUCGGCGGCUGGGGAUGGACUGGCGGCGUAUCAGCUUGUUGGUGGGGUAGUGGCUUACCAACGCCUUGACGGGUAGCCGGCCUGAGGGGGUGAGAGGCGACACUGAGUCUGAGAGAAGGCCCAGACAGCUACGGGAGGGAGCAGUGCGGAAGACUGAACGAGGGGUGGAGGCCUGGUGCAGAAACGCCGUGGGUCGGAUGACGGUCUUAUGGUUGUAAACCGCAUUCGCUCAUGACGAAGCAUUGUGUGACGGUAGUGGGUAAGGAAGCACCGGCUAACUACGUG